CAUGCUUGUACACUUGAAUGUUUUAUUUUUGAGGUUUUCAGAUCAAGCCACUUGUGAAAGUCACUGUUACUCUCUCUCACUUAUUUACUUCUGUGCCUGGUUGAAUAUUUUACAUUGAAGACCAUGCUCUGAACUAGUGUGGGGGAGGAUAUUUAUCUUGGGUAAGGGGACAUAUAAGAAUGAUAAGGCUGGAUUGACACUUGCUGAUCUUGCUUACCGACGUGCAAAAGCAGUAAAGGCCACUAAGAGGGCACUAGACUCUGGCAAGAUUGUGAAGAAUCAUCAAAAGAAAUCUAAUAAAUCUAAUCCUUUGCCAAAACCUUCCUCUUCCAGGCUAGAGGAAAUGCGGGAGCUAUUCCAGACUGACGUGAAGGAUAAAAAGCCGAAAUGGAGAGGUUCUUGAACAGGAAAGAAGGCGAAGAAGUCAUUGAAAAGCAAGUCAAGCUGUAACCAGUGCUGCCAUGCUGAUGGGUUGCAGUUCCCAGGAAUUAAUAACGGCAUUAUCUACCCAUAAAAUCCAACCUUGCGAGCGAGGACACUGUUGCCACAAGUUUGACAUUAUUGCAGGCAAUUGAAACAAGAGAUACAAUUGCCAAAUUUAUUUAUGCAAGCUUGUUUGAAUGGCUUGUACAACAAGUUAACAAGUCACUUGCACUGGGUGAAAACCAUACAGAGAAAUUCAUUAGUAUCCUUGCUUUUUAUGGGUUUCAGCCAUUCCAGGUAUUCAAUUUGUAUUAAUUUGCUAACAUGGAGAUAAGAGACUGUUGAAGUAAACAAAUUGUGUGCAUUUUUUGGAACAAUGAAAAUGCCAAAAAGAAUUCAUUAUUUCCAGAAAUAAAUCAUUCCUACUUAACAUUUUAUCUUCAUUCCAUCACAAUGGUUCACUUCAAGAGUCCCACAUCUUAUUAGCAAGUUAAAAUGAACACGUAUUUUGAAAAUGCAAAUAGAAAAUGUUUUCAUUAAGUCAACGGGUUCUUAAAUUCUGUUUCAAAAGAAAUAUUUUCAUUGCUUUCAUGAUAAUGAUAUCAAUACAGUAUAGCAUAUUUAAUCAUGUAGGUACUCGUAUGAUAACAUUGUUUUUCCUCGUUAUUCCCCUAAAACUCUACACCCUUCACUAAACCCUCACUUUCAUACUUGCUCUUGCCACCACAUCGCCUUCAUUGCAUGAACUGACUUGAUGAUUCCCUCUCAAAAGGUAUUCAACAUGAUUCGUUGUGUGUGACAGACUUGAUAAUUCCUUCUCAUAAUAUGUAGGUAUGUUCUUCGAACUUCUUUGGUUUUUUUUUGGAUUCUAUUUUCUUUUUAAUUAUUUUCAAUAUUUCUCAUCUGGGUUUCCAAUUUCAAUUCUUAGCUAUUCUUCUUUCAAUUUUAUUUUCUUGCCAUUUAUUAUUAGGAUUUACUGUUUUUGGUUAAUCUUUUGGUAGUUCAUUAUAUAAUUGAUGAUUUUGUGCCGUUUAUUUAACACAAUGAUUUUGACUUUGUUGGUGAUGUCUUUUGAAUGAUGAGAACUGAUUUUGAAAGGAUUUGUUAUACUAAAGUUGUUUUGGACAAGAAAUGGUUUUCUGAAUUUUAAUCAACUAGAUGGUUGUGUGUAACAUGUAGUCCACUUUACAUGGUAGAAGUUUUUUUUUUGUUCUUGUUUUUUUUUUUUUUAGAGUUUCUCGUUUCUAAUUACUACACCCCAUUUUAUAAAACUUUAGCUAAAUGGGUUCUUCGGCUAAAAUUACAACUCCAUUAUUUUUUGUGUGUUUUAUGAUUUGGUCAAUUAAUAUGGUCCUUUGUCAUGAGUCACAAUUACACAUUUCCACUUAGAGAAACGAUCAAAAUACUCUUCAAGAGUGAUAUAUGAGGAAUAUACUAUAUGUGCAUCUGAUAAUUUUUUUGUUCUAUAUAUGUUUGCUGUCAUCUAUUAUAUUUAUGUUUUUAAUCUAUAAAUAUAUCUAUAACUAGAAUACAUGGUUUUCACAUACCCUAUUUUCUUUUAUUUAACUGCAAUCACACACGGUUUCUGAAAUGUUAUCCCCUUCCACUGUCCCUUUCUCAAUCUCUCUCCCCUUCACUUCUCACAGAAAUGCAUUCUUAUUCAAACCACACAACAAAUGAAAUAAAUGAUGGGAAGGAAAUAGAAAACAUAGAAAUGUGGUUUUUUAUUUUGUCAAUUACAUAAAUUGUCUUUAUGAUGGGAAAGAAGGAAUUACGUAGUAUGUCGGAAGAGACUUGAAGAGGGAAGGGAAUUACAUAGGGCAGUAUUAACAUGGCGUUUUUUGUUUUGUUUUUGACAUCAUCAGUUGAAGCAAAGGUGAUUUUCAAUUUGUGUUUUGAACCGUCGAUCACAUAAGAAAGAUCACUCACGCAGUCAUGCUGCAAAGGUUUGCGGCACUCUGUAAACUUCUAUUGUUUCCUCUUCUUUUGCUAUCUCUCUGAACUCAUUUUUAUAUUUGCUAUUUUCACUUCCUAAAUUCAUUAUGAUUUCUAUUGAUCACUGUUUUUUCUCCCUUAUGAUUUUUCACCCGUUUGGUGAAUUUUAUGAAGUUUAAAAAGUUUUAUAAUUUCUAUUGAUCACUUUUUGAAAAGUUUAAAAUGUCUAUUUAUGUCAAAUUUGAUGAAAAAAAGAUUGUAAAUACCUCUUGGUGAAUUUUAUGAAGUUUAAAAAGUUUUACAAUUUUUAUUGAUCACUUUUUGAAAAGUUUAAAAUGUCUAUUUAUGUCAAAAUUGAUGGAAAAAAAUUGUAAAUAGAAGCCAUUGUUUGUGGUUGCAUCUUUCUUUUGGCAUAUGUUCGACGUGAAAGGAUGAAUGAGUCUUAUAAUUUUGAUGUUUUGAAUUCAAACUGUGAUUUAGAAAGUGAAAUGCAUAAAUGAAGGGGCCAUAUGGUGCAAAAGAGUGUAACCGCAACAACUCAAAAAUACGAGGAAGUUCCAUGGUUGGCCUAAGCGAAAAUGGAAGAGAAAGUGCCCUCUCUCUGCUGCCAAAUAGGCUAAAACUGGAUGAUGUCUUUGGGGCUCCAAAGUAACCUCAUUAAUGAUAACACAGCUUCAGAUUCAAUCUUCGUUGAGAUUCAAUGAAGCUUCAAAUUCAAUCUUCCUUGAAAUCCAGGUUCAGUUGAAACCCCACUACAUAGCUAGCUUAUUGUAUGGUAACUCUAAUUUGAGUGAUAGAAUAGAAUGAAAUAAUAUCAAACAAGAAGUUCUUGAUAUGAUUAAAAUAACCUUAUAAAAUAUGUUGAUUAUUGUUGGUGGUAAUAGGAACGUUAAAACUUAGAAGUUGCUCAAUGGAAAAUGUAGGGUAAUUUACAGGGUUGUUAAGCAUUAGCUGGAUUGACUUUUAUUUUUAUGUUGAGCAUUAGCUUAGAUGUAUGUGCAUGGAAUUCUUCACUCUGAUAUGUGGGGUGUGACACCCUCCAAUUUGUGGGACUGGGGUGUACUUCGGGAGAUGAUAUCAAAGAUAGGUGUAAGAAAUUCACUUCGUGA